CCAGCUGUCAAAAGAAGCUCCAAGCCAUACAACCCAGAGCCAGGUCCAUUGUGAUGACAGUGGGUUUCUGGAAAACUCUGCAGGGCUCCCAGGAUGACUCAUCAGCCUCUUGUCAGACGUCAUUUCUUCCUCAGCCGCUUUUGGAGCAGAUCCCCUCCUCUUACUGCUUGACAAGCUGAAGUGGUUUACUGGGUUUUGGACAAGGGGAAGUGGAAGUGCUUGGGUAGUGUUUGUGGGGACAGGGCAGGGAGAUGCGAGAUGUCUUGGGCACUUGGGUAAUUAUGAGCAGAGGCUUAGUUUUCCAUUUGCCAAGAGAGUUUUCUCUCUCUCUCUCUUAGGCAAACAUGCGUGAAUGGGGAAGAACUAUCUGGAGGACAGCAGUAGUUAGAUAGUAAAGGCAGACACACUGGGCCUGUAACUCAGAGCAGUUCGAUUUCUGGGUGCAGCUAGUGGGUGCUCCUGACAGAGGUUUUGAACAAUACAGGACUAAGGAGAGGUUGGCAAAGCACCUUUGAGAAGGGGAUUGAUUUCCAGCUAGGCUGCUUAGUCUUCAAUUUCCCCUUUCACCCUCUUUAUGAUCUGCAACAAACUGCUGUGCUCCCUAGCAUGUGCCUAUGAAAGUGGGACAAGGUCACACAACAUUAAGGCUGGCAUCAAUGCUAAAUGAGGUAAUGCUCAGAG
rnacentral:lncRNA from 1 species